rnacentral:misc_RNA from 1 species
AAUUCAUGUACUGCAAACUAAAUUGACAUCAUUCGCAUACAGCGUUUCGAAUUGAUGUACCAAGUCUACUCUGCCUUAUCUUACAUUUAUCUAUAUUAUAUCAUCAUCAUGUUUCAAAGUUCAAAUCCAGAAAUGGCUACUGUUUCUUCACUAGGACUAUUACACUUGGACUCGACUUAUUUAUAUCAAACUCUCCCACACAAUCAUUAAAUAGUUAAGAUCUGACUGGACCAAGCAGCCAUUUUACAUUUUCAAUUUCUUUAUACCAGCACUGCAGGCUGUAUGGAAACGGUGAAAAUGCUUUUUAAGAAGCAGCAGCUCAGCCAUAAAUGUAAAGCCUGCAGUGGGUUAAGUUUAUUCUCCUAGGGCGGCCCAGAAAAAGGAGAUGCAUGGCCUUCGGUGUGCAUGAUGAAUCAUUUGGAACCACUGUCCUACCUAAUAAUAUAUAGACCAAUUAAAACAAAAAAUUGAAAUUAUAGCAAGUCAAAUUAACCAGAGAUGAAAACAUGCCAACAAAAAAAAAGGGCAACUCACUUAUUUACUGUUUUACCUGAGAACCACUGCAGCAUCACCUGCUCAGCUAUUUUACGCCGCAAAUUGACUUCUCAACUGAAAAUGGUUAAAGGUGUCUCUAGACUGCCUCUAAAUAAGCUUUUGGAAGAAUUGAAUCAGGCAAACACAGUGCAAAAUUUCUUCCCAAUCAUCUCCCCAUCCCCGGAAAUACUUACAAUUAAGAACCUUGCUGGGUAGCAGACUUUGUAUCCACAAUGAGAUCAUCAAGCAGAAGUGAGUAUGACUGUGUCAGUAUCAAACACUAUGUGUAUUCUUGGAAUCAAAAAUACCCAUUGUAAACUCAUGCAUUCCCUUGCUUCUUAUGCUUGUUAAUCAUGAAAAUGUAAACCAUCUCAUGGUUGUACAUUAGGAACCACAGAAUUGAUAUUGUCCUUUAUUAGGCCCAUCUUCACCAAUUCAUUAUGCAAUUCUACAGCUUCAUCUAUAUUUCCUAGUUCAUAAUACUUCCUUAACAGAGAAAUACAGAGAAUCUCAUCAGGAACAAUACCUUUUCCAAUCAUCUCAGCAAGAAACUUUCUUGCUUGCUGCACUAAGCCACCUUGUGAAAAUCCCCAGACCAGUGAAGUGUAGGCAUGCAGAUCAAGCUCCAUCCCUAAUUCAGACAUCCUGCUCCUAAUAUUCAAAGCUUCUUGAAAUUCCCAAUGCUUCAAAUUUCCAUGCAUUAAAGCAGUGUACACAAUUUUAUCUGGAACCAUAUUUUUACCCUGCAUUUCAUCAAACAACUUCUUUGCAUCUUCAAUGCAAUUAUUUUUGCACAGACCAUCAAUUAGGGCAGUAUAAACCGCUACAUUAGGCUGCAAAUUAAAUUCUGGCAUCCUAGAAAAGUAAUUAUUCGCCUCUUGAACCAAACCCGUUUUACACAAACCAUCAACUAAUACACAAAAGGUCACAUUUGUAAUCUCAAUGCCCAUGUCACACAUUUCUUGCAUAAGGUUGAGUGCCUCCUUGGUCUUCCCUGCCUUGAAAUAAGCAUCCAUAAGUGUCGUGUAUAUGACAGGGUUUGCACUAAUACCACAAUCUUUCAUUUCAGUCAUAACAAGUUUGCAUUCUUCGAACUUACUUUGACUGCAAAGACCCCAAAUAAUUGUUCCAUACAGUAAUAAAUCAGGUUUUAUAUUUUUCCCCAUCAUUUCUUUCAAAAACCCCAUGGCAUUUUCCAUCCACUUAUCCUUGAUAUGCCCAUGAAUCAGGGCAGUAUAAGUUUUUAGAUUUGGAGCUACCCCAUCUUUUAUCAUUGCUCUUAAUAGUUCCUCUGCUUCGUUCACCCUUCCUUCUUCACAAAGGCCAUCUAGUAAACAUGUGUAGGUAACAACGUUAAAAUCAACAUGCACCUGCAACAUCUCCUUAGCUAGCUUCAACGCAUCAUUUAAAUUACCAGCUUUACAGUUUGCAUCGAUCAGAGAAGUAUAUGUGAAUUCAUUAGGUAAAAGACCAACACGUCUCAUGUCCACCAAAAACUUAAUUGCCAGUUGCAACAUCCCCUCCUUGCACAAAGCAUCAACUAAUGUACUAUAAGUAAUGAUAUUAGGUUUUAAUCCAUUAUUUUUCAUCUCAAGGAAAAACUCAAAAGCUUUAGGCAUUUGUUCAUAUUUACAAAAACAGUUAAUCAAAGCAUUGUAGGUUAUCACAUCAGGUUCACAACCCACAUCCUCCAUUUCUUCAAAUAGGCAAACUGAUUCAUCCAACAACCCCAACUUUCCGUAUCCAUCAAUAAGAGAAUUAUAUGUGACAACGUCUGAUGCCAAACCCAACUGUUUCAUUUGCCCAAAUAAACUUCUAGCAGCUACCAUAUCCCCUACUUUGCACAUAUAACCUAUCAUGAUGUUAUAUGUAAAUACUGACGGGGUAAUCCCAGCCCCAACCAUAUCCUUAAAGAAUUUCCUUGAAAAGUCCCCUUUCUCUGUCAUUGAAAGCUUAUGUAAAAGGGCAUUACAAGACCGUGUUUUUGGCAAGACCUUAAACCUUGUCAUCCUUGAAAAACAUUGACCAGCUUCCUCAAGCAUUCCUAACUCAAUAAAAACGCUAAACAAAGCAUCAAAAACACCAAAACCAGGAACACAGACAUUCCUGGUCGACCACAAAACUUCAAAAACAUCAAAACCAGGCAAAAUCCGGCCAGACAAAAUCAACUCCUUAAGAAUAACAUUAGCAUCAAAGUACAUUCUAGCAGAAAACAAAAUGUGCACUAAUAUACAAUGGGACUCUGUUGUGAGGCAAAACCCAUUUCGGGUUUUGACCCAUCUAAAGAAUUUCAAUGUUAAUCUAGGAUCUUGUUUUAGUUCCGCCAAAACCCUGGAAACCCAUAUCGGGCCUAGGGACGAAUCAAUGAGAUUAACGAUUUCAGGAUUAUUCCACUGCUCUUGUUCAAUGCUUUUACGGAUGAAUUCUUUGUCUAGAUAUUCCAAAAAAUUGGUGGGGUUUGAUUUGGUGACAAAUGGGAAUCUGAGUAUGCAAAGACAGCCAGUCAACCAGAUUAGUGGACAAUAAAAUAAAGAAUUAUGUGGUCCUGUCGAUGGUGAAGAAAAAAAGAAAGGGAGGCGAGCAUUAGGGCUUGAAGAGGGAGGAGGGCUUACUCUGUAAGCGAAUCUGCGACCGGUGUAAAAGAGAUUGCGCAGAGAAACUAACAUCUUAGAGAGCGAAAUGAUAGCUGCUGCUACGAGCUUCUUCAUCUGUUGUUUGAGGGGCAAUGGACGUUCAUAGCUCCAGUGUGUUCCUCUUUCAGGAAAUAGGGUUUAUGGGGAGAGAAUAAUGUCAAGAGGAAGGUUUUAUGAGCUAGCUGGAAUUAGAAGUUUUGCC